AACUGCUAUAUCACACUGGGGAUUGCUAUGCUCUGCAUAUUCCCCUGAGCUUUUAAUCACUUAGCUCUUUUAAGAGCUGUUCCUGUUAUGCUCUCCUGGAGGAGAGGUCUUCCCCACAUGGUCCUGGAGGACAGAAGCUGAUCCAGGGUGGAAGGAAGACGGCGAGACUCCAGUUAAGCUACGGCGGUUGUGGAGUCUGCGGUGGUUGUGGUGUCUGCUGCAGUGUUUGGAGUCCUCGGGAAGCGCUAGGAGCAUCCAUCAACGGAGGGUACUCGGUCGGAGUACAGGGAG